rnacentral:rRNA from 1 species
GGUUAAGCGACUAAGCGUACACGGUGGAUGCCCUGGCAGUCAGAGGCGAUGAAGGACGUGCUAAUCUGCGAAAAGCGUCGGUAAGGUGAUAUGAACCGUUACAGCCGGCGAUGUCCGAAUGGGGAAACCCAGUGCAAUUCGUUGCACUAUCGUUAACUGAAUACAUAGGUUAACGAGGCGAACCGGGGGAACUGAAACAUCUAAGUACCCCGAGGAAAAGAAAUCAACCGAGAUUCCCCCAGUAGCGGCGAGCGAACGGGGAGCAGCCCAGAGUCUGAAUCAGCUUGUGUGUUAGUGGAACGGUCUGGAAAGUCCGACGGUACAGGGUGAUAGUCCCGUACACCAAAAUGCACAGGCUGUGAACUCGAAGAGUAGGGCGGGACACGUGGUAUCCUGUCUGAAUAUGGGGGGACCAUCCUCCAAGGCUAAAUACUCCUGACUGACCGAUAGUGAACCAGUACCGUGAGGGAAAGGCGAAAAGAACCCCGGCGAGGGGAGUGAAAAAGAACCUGAAACCGUGUACGUACAAGCAGUGGGAGCACCUUCGGGUGUGACUGCGUACCUUUUGUAUAAUGGGUCAGCGACUUAUAUUCUGUAGCAAGGUUAACCGUAUAGGGGAGCCGCAGGGAAACCGAGUCUUAACUGGGCGUUAAGUUGCAGGGUAUAGACCCGAAACCCGGUGAUCUAGCCAUGGGCAGGUUGAAGGUUGGGUAACACUAACUGGAGGACCGAACCGACUAAUGUUGAAAAAUUAGCGGAUGACUUGUGGCUGGGGGUGAAAGGCCAAUCAAACCGGGAGAUAGCUGGUUCUCCCCGAAAGCUAUUUAGGUAGCGCCUCGUGAAUUCAUCUUCGGGGGUAGAGCACUGUUUCGGCUAGGGGGUCAUCCCGACUUACCAACCCGAUGCAAACUACGAAUACCGAAGAAUGUUAUCACGGGAGACACACGGCGGGUGCUAACGUCCGUCGUGAAGAGGGAAACAACCCAGACCGCCAGCUAAGGUCCCAAAGUCAUGGUUAAGUGGGAAACGAUGUGGGAAGGCACAGACAGCCAGGAUGUUGGCUUAGAAGCAGCCAUCAUUUAAAGAAAGCGUAAUAGCUCACUGGUCGAGUCGGCCUGCGCGGAAGAUGUAACGGGGCUAAACCAUGCACCGAAGCUGCGGCAGCGACACUAUGUGUUGUUGGGUAGGGGAGCGUUCUGUAAGCCUGCGAAGGUGACCUGUGAGGGUUGCUGGAGGUAUCAGAAGUGCGAAUGCUGACAUAAGUAACGAUAAAGCGGGUGAAAAGCCCGCUCGCCGGAAGACCAAGGGUUCCUGUCCAACGUUAAUCGGGGCAGGGUGAGUCGACCCCUAAGGCGAGGCCGAAAGGCGUAGUCGAUGGGAAACAGGUUAAUAUUCCUGUACUUGGUGUUACUGCGAAGGGGGGACGGAGAAGGCUAUGUUAGCCGGGCGACGGUUGUCCCGGUUUAAGCAUGUAGGCUGAUUAUCCAGGCAAAUCCGGAUAAUCAAGGCUGAGGUGUGAUGACGAGGCACUACGGUGCUGAAGUAACAAAUGCCCUGCUUCCAGGAAAAGCCUCUAAGCAUCAGGUAACAUCAAAUCGUACCCCAAACCGACACAGGUGGUCAGGUAGAGAAUACCAAGGCGCUUGAGAGAACUCGGGUGAAGGAACUAGGCAAAAUGGUGCCGUAACUUCGGGAGAAGGCACGCUGGUGUGUAGGUGAAGUCCCUGCGGAUGGAGCUGAGACCAGUCGAAGAUACCAGCUGGCUGCAACUGUUUAUUAAAAACACAGCACUGUGCAAACACGAAAGUGGACGUAUACGGUGUGACGCCUGCCCGGUGCCGGAAGGUUAAUUGAUGGGGUUAUCCGUAAGGAGAAGCUCUUGAUCGAAGCCCCGGUAAACGGCGGCCGUAACUAUAACGGUCCUAAGGUAGCGAAAUUCCUUGUCGGGUAAGUUCCGACCUGCACGAAUGGCGUAAUGAUGGCCAGGCUGUCUCCACCCGAGACUCAGUGAAAUUGAACUCGCUGUGAAGAUGCAGUGUACCCGCGGCAAGACGGAAAGACCCCGUGAACCUUUACUAUAGCUUGACACUGAACAUUGAGCCUUGAUGUGUAGGAUAGGUGGGAGGCUUUGAAGCGUGGACGCCAGUCUGCGUGGAGCCAACCUUGAAAUACCACCCUUUAAUGUUUGAUGUUCUAACGUUGGCCCCUUACCGGGGUUGCGGACAGUGUCUGGUGGGUAGUUUGACUGGGGCGGUCUCCUCCCAAAGCGUAACGGAGGAGCACGAAGGUUAGCUAAUCCUGGUCGGACAUCAGGAGGUUAGUGCAAUGGCAUAAGCUAGCUUGACUGCGAGCGUGACGGCGCGAGCAGGUGCGAAAGCAGGUCAUAGUGAUCCGGUGGUUCUGAAUGGAAGGGCCAUCGCUCAACGGAUAAAAGGUACUCCGGGGAUAACAGGCUGAUACCGCCCAAGAGUUCAUAUCGACGGCGGUGUUUGGCACCUCGAUGUCGGCUCAUCACAUCCUGGGGCUGAAGUAGGUCCCAAGGGUAUGGCUGUUCGCCAUUUAAAGUGGUACGCGAGCUGGGUUUAGAACGUCGUGAGACAGUUCGGUCCCUAUCUGCCGUGGGCGCUGGAGAAUUGAGGGGGGCUGCUCCUAGUACGAGAGGACCGGAGUGGACGCAUCACUGGUGUUCGGGUUGUCAUGCCAAUGGCACUGCCCGGUAGCUAAAUGCGGAAGAGAUAAGUGCUGAAAGCAUCUAAGCACGAAACUUGCCCCGAGAUGAGUUCUCCCUGAGACUUUAAGUCUCCUGAAGGAACGUUGAAGACGACGACGUUGAUAGGCCGGGUGUGUAAGCGCAGCGAUGCGUUGAGCUAACCGGUACUAAUGAACCGUGAGGCUUAACCUU